AUCCAGAAGACGAGUCCCAAAUAGAAGAAAACGCGUGUUCUGGAU
rnacentral:hammerhead_ribozyme from 1 species